GUCUACAGCCAUGCCACCCUGAACACACCCGAUCUCGUCUGAUCUUGGAAGCUAAGCAGGGUCGGGCCCCGUUAGUUCUUGGAUGGGAGACCACCUAGGAAUAACAAGUGCUGCAGGCU
rnacentral:rRNA from 1 species